UUUUGGUGAUUCAGUUAAAUAAAGCUGAAUAGGGUCUUCUCGUCUUAUUGUGCUAUUCCCGCCUCUUCACGGGAAGGUCAAUUUCACAGAUUAAAAGUAA